CUUUAAACCGGUGCUCAUACCUUAUAGUGCUCCCGGGGUCUGGGAAAUCAUGUAAACUCAUCACUCUUGAAAAACAAACUGAAUUGAGCAGGGGAGCACAGUCUCAGAUAUUCCACCUUUAAAAUAGGGAACUUCAUAUCUGGACCUCACCAAAACUAUGUGGAACUGAGAAAAGACUGUCCCCACAGUCCCCACAGUCAGAGGGAAUGGAGUGCUACUGGAGUGUUAAAGCUAAGAAAAAGCAUUUGAUUUAUAAAUUAAUAAAAAUAUUCUGCCUGAGGGUCUCCCUGGUGGCGCAGGGGGUUAAGACGCAACUUAUGAAGCUAACCACAGCCACUACAGCACAAGUUCGAUCCCCUGCCAGGGAGCAACCCACAUGGAGCAGCAGACUCGCCCACUGACUUGCCUCUGACUUACCAACUGCUCUCCUGACUCGCCCACUGAUCCCCUCAGCAGUGUAUUUCCAUCAAUCUGCCUGUUCUAUUCUCUACUCUGUCUCUGGUGAAUCCUCUCAUACCCACCCCCUCACCUCUGGUCUGUACCCCAGCUCUUAUAUG